rnacentral:rRNA from 1 species
AACGAACGCUGGCGGCAUGCCUAACACAUGCAAGUCGAACGAGACCUUCGGGUCUAGUUGCGCACGGGUGCGUAACGCGUGGGAACCUGCCCUUAGGUUCGGAAUAACUCCCCGAAAGGGGUGCUAAUACCGGAUAAUGUCUUCGGACCAAAGAUUUAUCGCCCUUGGAUGGGCCCGCGUUGGAUUAGCUAGUUGGUAGGGUAAAAGCCUACCAAGGCGACGAUCCAUAGCUGGUCUGAGAGGAUGAUCAGCGACACUGGGACUGAGACACGGCCCAGACUCCUACGGGAGGCAGCAGUGGGGAAUAUUGGACAAUGGGCGAAAGCAUGAUCCAGCAAUGCCGCGUGAGUGAUGAAGGCCUUAGGGUUGUAAAGCUCUUUUACCCGGGAUGAUAAUGACAGUACCGGGAGAAUAAGCACCGGCUAACUCCGUG